UACGUAGGGUGCAAGCGUUGUCCGGAAUUAUUGGGCGUAAAGAGCUCGUAGGCGGUUUGUCGCGUCUGCUGUGAAAACUCGAGGCUCAACCUCGAGCUGUCGGCGGAAACCAUCUGGCUAGAGUCCGGAAGAGGAGAGUGGAAUUCCUGGUGUAGCGGUGAAAUGCGCAGAUAUCGGGAGGAACACCAAUGGCGAAGGCAGCUCGCUGGGACGUGACUGACGCUGAGACGCGAAAGCGUGGGGAGCAAACAGG
rnacentral:rRNA from 1 species